UGAAGUAGUCUGUUCCACUGUCUGACCCUUUGGUACCAGAACGCAAUUUUUUUUUAGCAUCUCAGUGUCCUUUAUUGGUUUCCUGCCUCCGUGACGAAGGCUUAACCUGAUUCUCACUUCCUCCACCGACUUGACUCAUCUGCGUACCUGUGAAAGCCAAAGGUGGUCACUCAGAGCUGCUUCCUUUAUUUCCUUCUUGAUUCAGGAGUAAACGCUUCCCAAAUGAAGCCUCUGAUAAUCACCGUGAACACUGACAACCUGGGGUCCUGACUGGUGGUGCAGGAUCUGAGCUAACACUGAGGGGAGGUACGGAAGCCCUGCGAAACCCACUGGAAAGUUCCAAGAGCACAGCUGCGAAGACAUCACUAAAGGACAAGGCCACACCACGAUGAUCCCCACUCAACAGCUGGCAAAGCGGCCUCGCCGGGCACUGCGACUCUGCCGACUACUGAUGGGGACUCUCCUCUGUAAGGAAGAUCUGAAGCUCACUGUCAGCCCUUCAGGGUUGCCCAGUGAAGUGGCAACUGGACGUGAUCUCAGAAGAGCUGGAUUUGGGUUCUAGCUGUGAUGUGCCCCUUGUGCUGAUCACGAACAUCACCAGAAAGUGGAAAUGAUCACGUGCCACUGCAGUUUCAAGAGUCAUCCUCAUGAAAAUUAGAUCACUUACUAAGAAAAGUCAGGGUAGCCAAGAGUGAAAGGUCUCAAGGAGAAAUACUGCUUGGUAUGAGACAAUCUCAGGGAGCCCCUUCCUACCGCUCACUGCUGAUGGAGACCGUCACGCUAGCCAGUCCAGCCAGCAUCCUUGGGUGUAAGUUCAAGGAAACAACCCACUGGGAGCAAAAAGCAUGAGUGUGCACACGCACCGCCCUGCGAGGCAGGCUGCCUGGAUGCACAAUGUGAGUCAGGUAAUGUGUAAGAUAAUGCACCCCACAUCCCCAAGGGAUACUGUGAGGAUAAAACGGAAAGUGCAACAGAAGUCAGUUAUUAUAACCUAUCAAAAUGAGCACUUGAGGCCAAACAAUUAAAUACUCAAUAUGAUCAGAAUAACUUUUACAAAUUACAGCACAUCAACACAACGCCACAUUACAUAAUGGUUACUAUUCACUACGUAACAAAAAAAAAUGAAAACGUUCAUGAGGCAUUAUAUUAAAACACCACAAAUCGGCAUGUACACACUGAUAUUCUUUCCAGAAUUUUAAAAGGUUUCACAAUUUCCUCAAUUUUCAUCUUAAUAUAAUUACAAAAUGUUUUGAGAGAGCAUGUGGUUUGCUUCUCCUCUCAAGAGAACAUUUGACUCAGAGAUGUGUAACCUGUGAUUCUGCUUAAAAUAAAAGGAACA